AUCUAUUUUGACUCGCAACGAAGACAAAACUUUCACCGGCAAAGCUACAGGCGAAAAGAAAAUUGUGAGCAGGAUCUGGUAUUUCAAGAGAAGAGAGCUUUGUUUCUCGUAAGCCAGAAGAUCCCGGUGAAAAGCGUAAAUAUAUAGUUGGACGAGGUAAAAUGAAAAACAAACUCUUCGUUUGACGUAAUGCCACGUGGUAACACGCGCGAUGCACAUCGUCGGGGAGUCGUAUCGUGUAAAAGAACGCGUUCACAGAAACGAAAUUUACGAGGGUCGAGGAGAGACAUGUGCGCGCGGAGCUUUCUUUCGGUGGAAGUAUAGGGAACCAGAGAGAAGGGUGGAAAAACGUGGGAGCACCAUCAACACCCAUGGUAUGUGUACAGUGCAUAGUGACUCGAUGCCAGAGACAAAAGAACUCGCGGGGAUACGACAUCGUUAAAGAACGCCUAGGAAAAAAAUAACCAGCUGACGGAAUAAUAAACUGAAACUAUCCGUACAAAUAUAGAGCACGGCCAUUAAAUUCGUGGAAGAACAAAUAAAUGCAUUCUACGAAAGCUCCAGUAUUUAUUCAUAGUGGUGCUAGUUCCCAGUUUAUUUUUCGAUAAUAGCACCAGUCUUCAAUUGUAAAUAACUUUUUUUUUUUAUGUACAUCUGGUACGAUGCACACGCUGAAAUGCUAUAUGCAACGUAAAUAGAUCGCAAAGGGAAAGUCACGAUCGAGACAAGCCAGAGAUAAGACAUUGAAUUAACGUAUAUAAACAGAGUGAACGUUGCGCGAAGAAGCUGAAGAUCGUAUUUACGGACGACCACUUAUUUCGUGUUAUGUUAAUGUCCAUUGUGUCGAUGUAAAAAUGCCACGUUAUUUUUUUCCAACUCCAUCAACCCUUACCAACUGGACGGUUAUUUGGGAGCAGGCUAAAGUAUGGAAAAUAUCGGUAUUGAAUUACACGGCGGCCACUAUAAUAUUUACAUGUUGGAUAUGCGAUUGGAAAGCAGUGUGCAAACAUGUUCCAUUCUAUGGUAGCAAAUACGAGAGAGGAACGCCACGGAAAUACUCGCACUAUUAGCGUUACACUAUCAGCAAACAGUGAUU